UAGGGCACGUAGUACGACUUUCACUUGGUCAGGAUCUUCGAUGCCUCUGUAAUAUGCUAUCGACUUGCAUGCUUGCUCCUUUUUACCUUUUGCCACCAAGAAAUACGGAGUUUCGCGUAAGCACAUGAGCGGCAAGAUGGAUAUAGCGGAUAUUCCUGCAAGAGCCAGCAGGUGUGACGUGUACGUCAGCGAGGAUCCAGUAACGUAGAUUUCUCAUAAAUAUAUAAAAGUCCACACUCGGUUUAUGAUAUAACAAAGCAUCAGUGCGAUGAAUAUCUGAAUCGAAAUGUUAAAUUUAUCGUAAUGUAGGAUGGAAUAGAAGUGCAACUUUAAACGAUGGUACGCAAGUCGAUACAAAUAAGUACCUGACGUAAUAUCAAGAGUGAAAACUAACCGGAAAUACAUGCUAGAAAUUGCCGGCUUCGUAAGAUGCAGGGACUAGGACAUUUCCCUUGCGGAGAUGAUCGAUCAGGAUCUAAACCUCCGCCCUCAGGCGAGUACCCAGGAGGGUUCCUAGGAACCUGGAAAACAGAUACCUUUGUUAAGAAUAGAAAUCAUAAUUCUUUUCUAAUUAUAUAGUCUAAUCAAUCUUUUGAGCGAAUUCCAAACCACGGAAAAGAUAUCAAGAAGUAUUUAAAUAUUAACAUUAUUUCAAGGUAAUUAAAAAAAUUUUCUUUCCCCUAUCCUAAUGGAAGUACAAUUUAUGAUAUUUCUAUCAACAGCAUUAAAAUAUUCUUGAUGUUAUUUGAUGUUAUUAUAGAUAGAAGACGUACUUGAGUUUUUCACUGACGUUUGCUAAUGGUUAUUUGUGCUUUUGAAAACUAUCUUCUACAAUCUUUUCCUUUGAGUGUCCUCCAAAUCAAUGAUAAUUUGUAAUGUUUUUAUAUAUUUCUUAAAUAUUUGUUGUAAUUAAUGAAAUAUAUUAACAUGUCGUAUAGAUAAUACCGAAGAACUGUUUGAACCUUCGAGUAUGAUUCGAUAUUUAUAAGAGGUAACAGUUUUAAGCUUUGAACAUUAUGUUUUGGUGGAUCGUGACAGUUUAAAUCAGGGUGAAAGAUUCAAAAUUUUAAAUGAUCACGUUCGAUCAAGAUUCAGUGUUGAAGAUUUAAGAUUAUUGUGACUUUUAAAUAUCGAAUCAUAUUCGUAGGUUCAGACGGUUCUUUGGUAUUAUCGACACGAUAUGUUAAUACAUUUCAUUAUGUGCCAAAACUUUAAAUAGAGACGUAGGAAUCAAAACUUUAAUUGCUAUGGAUUCCAAUCCAUAUUUGGAAAUAAAAGAAUAAUAGUUAAAUUCGCUGAAAAUAGGUAUCUCAAACGGACGCUUUUUUUAUAUUCUCAUUCAAUUAGAAUUUAGGAUUUGUUACUCUGCGAUAUUUAAUUUCUAGCUGUUUAUUUCAAAAAUAUUUAUCAUGUAAUCAUAUUAAAUGCUUACCAUCCUAAGCUGGUACAUGCUAGGAGAAAUAAGUACUUCCUCGCAAUAAUAUAAUCACGAUAUAUUUUCAAUAUUUCAAUUUGUAGAAUCCAGUUUACACAUAAUUAUUUAAAAACUGCACGAAAGAUCAUUGGGAAUUAUCUAUCGCAAAAGAAGAACAGCUGUAAGAAAUCUUUAUACUGAAUCUCACGAUUAACAGAUUUCGUAUUGAUUUGUACGAUUUACACGACUGCCACAAACAUACUGGGUACUUCUGAGGAUACUUCCCCUUUACAUACAGUCGACAUUAUUUCAACACAUAAACACUUCUAAUUCUCCUUGUUAUAUCUUUAAAUGUAACGAAUUAAUUUUAAAUAUUUCGACAUAGGAACAAUAAUAUUUUUGUACUUAUUAUAUCUAGGAAACGUCCUAAUUAUAAUGUUAGAACAGUCGAAUGCCAACUAUUAUAUGAUAUAUAUUUCCUCUAAUAUACAAAUUAAAAUGAACAAAAAUAAUUGCACAGCUUCGACUAUUAUUUAUUUUUGUUCCAUUUGCUACAUCGGCUACGUUGCGAUCAUAAUCCAGCAUUUGAUUUAUCUUUAAUUUCUUGAAGCAUAGCUUCCUUUAUCGCGGCAAUUCUUGUUCUCUUUACUUUCCCUCUAUUUCGACGUUUCCUACUGAAACUGUCGUAUUUUCUACGAUCUCUCAUGUGUCGAAAUAUUUUUUCGUUUGUAACUUUCUCUGUAGGGAAACGCUUCGCAGAAAUCAUUUUCCCUCCUUGCAUCUGCAUCUUCGUACACUGAGUACAUUUACAUCGUAUCUAUAAUUUCUGCGAAUGUGUACAAUAUUGCUCGAUUCCUGGUGCACUUGCCCCAAUUAUAUCGAAUAAGAUUGCGUUCAAGCUCACGACGCAAAGAAUCAUCGGGCUUUUGUAUACAUUGGCUUUGAGCUAUUGGGUUUGCAACUAAGUGAUUGCGGAUUUUGUUAUUAGGUGGUGUUGACAAAAUCCGCAAUCACUUAGUUGCCAACCCAAUAUUAUCCGGCUGCGAUAACAGUCGUUCGUUGGCCUCUUGCGUUCCUCGGAAAUCAAAACGGAAAGUGUUAAAUGCAACUGAAGUAGAAAACUGAUUCAUGGAAUCAACUGAUUCACUCACGUACUUACACAUGUACGCGUGUAAUUCAUAUUCAAUCAGACGUGAGCACUUUUGACAUCGUUUCGAUUGCAAGUGUUUAAAAAUUGCGUGCACGCAAUUUUUAUGGACGUAACUUUUGUGGGCGUCAUUUUUACGGACAUAGCUUUUAUGGAUAGGCGUAGUACUCGCGAACUUAUUCGUAUAUGUUAAAAUCGUUUAAGUAUCAGCCAUAUUUAGAUAUUUUACUAAUAUAACUGUAGCAAAACACCAGUUAUUUAAAAACUGAUAAUUUUUUUCUCGUUUAAUUCAGAUUUGUGCAAAAAGUUACAUUGUGGGUCUCCAGUCAUGCAUACUUUGGGAAGAGUUUUUUUUCUUUUCUUUUCAAUUAUUAUAUUCCGACAGAAUCAAAGUAUCGAUAAAUUUAAAUGAGCGAAAACGUACCCGUAAUUAAUUUCACGCCGCAUUUAAAUCGUCUACGUUCUGUUUACCUAAUGAAAUUUCAUCUUAGUAUCGAAUGUAUUACACUCGGUUACAUUAUAUCAAAGCAGGUCGAUCUAUUACUGGGAUGAUGAAAAUACGCAAUAACAGCUCUGAUACGAUUAAUCGUUCGAAUAACAAUCUGUUGUAUAUACACCACAAAACGGAUCACUGGCGAAAUAACAAAUGAAUUUAAAAAAAAAAGAAAGAAAGAAACAAUUACGCGAUAUGAUGCACUAUGCAUCGUAAUACUUGGUUGUACAUAAUAAUUCACGUUUAUACAUAAGAACACACGAUUAUACUUAGUAAUACACGAUUAUACAUAGCGAUGCAUAAUAAAUUAUACAACAGAUGUGUAAGUUGGCGACCGGUAACAUUUCACAUGCUCGCCGUGUGCAGCAUGUAAACGCAUACACGCACGCGCUAUGUAUUCGCGCGUAGCCUCGUACUCGAUAACAUAACCUAA